rnacentral:lncRNA from 1 species
UGAUGUUCCAACAUAUCAAGUUCAUGAAGGGACAUAAUUAUGCUGUUAUGUGAAAGAAUCAACUCUGUGUGCUCAGCAGACCAUCCAGACACAUCCUAAGCAUUGUGUCUCCGAAGUAGAUCAGUUUAGCUGUGACAUCCUAUAGCAGUAUCUCUAUUAUGUGUCCUGUUCUAUUCAUCAGCAUCUCAACCGAAAAGACACACCCUGGUAAAUGUGACAGUUCCUUUUGGAGAAUGCAGGGAGAAAGACAGAAGAUAUACAUGUUUGACUGUGUGGGCAAGGUCCUUCCUCAAAGAGACAAGCUUCCCCUUCAUUCAAAGGGCUGUGGAUCUGUGACUGCCUGGAGGAGAACCAUGACCAUUGAGCUAAUGCAAGAGAUCUCUGCAGAUCAAAGCAUUUGGGACACUCCAGCUCUGCAACCUAUUGCAGUAACCACGAUGGCAGCUGGCCCUGACACUCUGGGAUCCCAUCAGCCUGAUUGCCUUCAAGGUGCCCACUUAAAAGGCAGCAUUUCUAACUGUCAUUGCAGCGAAUAUCUGCACUGAAUUCUUCACAGAUUCUGGGCAUCUCCUCCCCAAAUUUAUUUUCUUACAGCUUUGGAGAUGGGAAUUUUCUGGGGUCCUUUU